rnacentral:rRNA from 1 species
AUGAUGAUCACCGAGAUUGGUAAUUUGGUGUUGUUUGAUCAGAAAAAUGCAACAGUGUGGCAGUCAUUUGCUCACCCUACUGAUGCAUUGGUCCCUGGGCAGUCACUUCUGGAAGGUAUGAGGCUCGUAGCAAGUACGUCUGCAACAAAUUCGACAGAGACUCAGUUGUACAUGACAGUUCAACCUGAUGGAUUGUAUGCUUAUGUCGGAUCCACACCACCACAAGUCUAUUUUUCGAAAUCGGUGAACAAAAACAAGACAGGAAAGGAUCCAACAAAGGUUACCUUCACGAAUGGCAGCCUCAGCAUCUCUGUGCAGUCCAAGCAACCAGAUGAAUCAGACACGAGUAUCCAAUUACCAGCAGCUAACUCUACCCAGUACAUGAGAUUGGAGUCAGAUGGGCACCUGAGGCUCUACGAAUGGUCUAAUGCAGAUGCAAAAUGGGCUGUAGUGUCUGAUGUAAUCAAACUAUUCCCUGAUGACUGUGCCUUUCCAACAGUAUGUGGAGAGUAUGGUAUAUGCACAGGGGGGCAAUGUGUUUGUCCGCUUCAGAAUAAUUCUAGUUCAAGCUACUUCAAGCCGGCCGAUGAGCGGAAGCCAAAUCUUGGCUGUGCAUCACUGACUCCAAUCUCUUGUCAGGAAAUGCAACACCAUCAGUUGUUGACUCUUACAGACGUUUCUUAUUUUGACGCCAGCCACAUCGUUGUGAAUGCAACAAACGGAGAAGACUGUAAGCAAGCUUGCUUGAAGAACUGCUCCUGCAGGGCCGUGAUGUUCAGGUAUGGCCAGAAUGAUUCCGAUGGAACGUGUCUGUGGGUGACAAGGGUCUUCUCCUUGCAAUCAAUACAACCUGAAAUUGUUCACUACAACUCCUCUGCUUACCUCAAGGUGCAGCUUAGCCCCUCAACUUCUGCCUCUAAUGCAAACAAAAAGAAGGUGAUGUUAGGUGCUACACUUGGAGCUAUUACUAUUCUUGUACUGCUAGUCAUUGCUGCCAUUCUUUAUGUGCGAAGGAAGAAGAAGUGCCAAGAGUUAGAUGAAGAAUUAGAUUUUGACCAAAUUCCUGGAAUGACAGUGAGGUACACGUUCGAAAACUUGAGAGAAUGCACUGGAGACUUCAGUAAAAAGCUCGGAGGUGGUGGGUUUGGAACAGUUUUUGAAGGGAAAAUAGGUGAAGAGAGAGUUGCAGUAAAACGUUUGGAAGGUGCUAGACAAGGAAAGAAAGAAUUCUUGGCUGAAGUCGAGACUAUUGGCAGCAUUGAACACAUCAAUCUUGUUAGGCUGAUCGGCUUUUGUGCAGAGAAAUCUGAAAGACUUUUAGUAUACGAUAUGUACCGAGAGGGUCACUUGAUAGGUGGAUCUACUACCGCCAUAACAAUGCUCCUCUUGAUUGGUGCACCCGGCACAGGAUCAUUCUAG